rnacentral:rRNA from 1 species
AUCCUGGCUCAGGAUGAACGCUAGCGGCAGGCUUAACACAUGCAAGUCGAGGGGUAGAGGAAGCUUGCUUCCUUGAGACCGGCGCACGGGUGCGUAACGCGUAUGCAAUCUACCUUGUACAGGGGGAUAGCCCAGAGAAAUUUGGAUUAAUACCCCAUAGUAUUAUUGAAUGGCAUCAUUUAAUUAUUAAAGUUCCAACGGUACAAGAUGAGCAUGCGUCCCAUUAGCUAGUUGGUGUGGUAACGGCAUACCAAGGCGACGAUGGGUAGGGGUCCUGAGAGGGAGAUCCCCCACACUGGUACUGAGACACGGACCAGACUCCUACGGGAGGCAGCAGUGAGGAAUAUUGGUCAAUGGGCGCAAGCCUGAACCAGCCAUGCCGCGUGCAGGAUGACGGUCCUAUGGAUUGUAAACUGCUUUUGUACAGGAAGAAACACUCCCUCGUGAGGGAGCUUGACGGUACUGUAAGAAUAAGGAUCGGCUAACUCCGUGCCAGCAGCCGCGGUAAUACGGAGGAUCCAAGCGUUAUCCGGAAUCAUUGGGUUUAAAGGGUCCGUAGGCGGUUUUAUAAGUCAGUGGUGAAAUCUGGUCGCUCAACGAUCAAACGGCCAUUGAUACUGUAGAACUUGAAUUACUUGGAAGUAACUAGAAUAUGUAGUGUAGCGGUGAAAUGCUUAGAGAUUACAUGGAAUACCAAUUGCGAAGGCAGGUUACUACGAGUUAUU